UACGGAGGGAGCUAGCGUUGUUCGGAAUUACUGGGCGUAAAGCGCACGUAGGCGGCGAUUCAAGUCAGAGGUGAAAGCCCGGGGCUCAACCCCGGAACUGCCUUUGAAACUAGAUUGCUAGAAUCCUGGAGAGGUUAGUGGAAUUCCGAGUGUAGAGGUGAAAUUCGUAGAUAUUCGGAAGAACACCAGUGGCGAAGGCGGCUCACUGGCCCGGUACUGACGCUGAUGUGCGAAAGCGUGGGGAGCAAACAGG
rnacentral:rRNA from 1 species